UUUUCCUUCGGUCGCCGUGGACACUGUGCCGGACGCCUCUGGCAGGACUAACUACCGUGGCUUUUACGUCCAGCGUGCUGUGCUGUGUGUGCCUGCAGCAUCCUGUCCGAGACAAAGCUACCUUUCUUUCCUCGUGGGAAUGGACCGGCCGGGCUUUGGCAAUCUGUCCCCUCGAAAGGCAAAGUGACCUCUUGCAGCAGGGGAAGACUGAAGCAAGGGGUGCCAGGAAGAACUGGAGUCUCUGGAGAAUAAAAGCUGGAAGUAUGGCCCCGAAAGUCCCCAGCCCCGGGUGGUCAGUGGUCUGACUUGCACGGCCCGGUGGCCUUGGCCAGGAGCGGUCCUGCGGGAAGCACCUUUGCCCAGGCUGUAAUUUUAAUUUCCACUGGGUGCUGGCAAAGCCCCCCUGGGGGUGAGCCCCAGUGCCCGGCAGGAGCGGAGCGGGCUUGCGGGGAGGUGUUCACCCGGUCAGCGUCAGGAACCAUCCUAACUGAGGCCUCGGCUCCCUCUUUCCAUUCGGUCGCCGUGGACACUGUGCCGGACACCUCUGGCAGGACUAACCCUGUGGCUUUUAUGUCCAAUGUGCUGUAUGCCUGCAGCAUCCUGUCCGAGACAAAGCUACCUUUCUUUCCUCGUGGGAAUGGACCGGCCGGGCUUUGGCAAUCUGGCCCCUGGAAAGACAAAGUGACCUCUUGCAGCAGGGGAAGACUGAAGCAAUGGGUGCCAGGAAGAACUGGAGUCUCUGGAGAAUAAAAGCUGGAAGCGUGCCCCCGAAAGUCCCCAGCCCCGGGUGGUCAGUGGUCUGACUUGCACGGCCCGGUGGCCUUGGCCAGGAGCGGUCCUGCCGGCCUGUACUUUGAAUUUCCUGCCCAGGCUGUAAUUUUAAUUUCCACUGGGUGCUGGCAAAGCCCCCCUGGGGGUGAGCCCCAGUGCCUGGCAGGAGCGGAGCGGGCUUGCGGGGAGGUGUUCACCCGGUCAGCGUCAGGAACCAUCCUAACUGAGGCCUCGGCUCCCUCUUUCCCUUCGGUCGCCGUGUGUGUGCCGGACACCUCUGGCAGGACUAACCCUGUGGCUUUUAUGUCCAACGUGCUGUAUGCCUGCAGCAUCCUGUCCGAGACAAAGCUACCUUUCUUUCCUCGUGGGAAUGGACCGGCCGGGCUUUGGCAAUCUGGCCCCUGGAAAGACAAAGUGACCUCUUCCAACAGGGGAAGAUUGAAGCAAGGGGUGCCAGGAAGAACUGGAGUUUCUGGGGAAUAAAAGCUGGAAGCGUGCCCCCGAAAGUCCCCAGCCCCGGGUGGUCAGUGGUCUGACUUGCACGGACCGGUGGCUUUGGCCAGGAGCGGUCCUGCCGGCCUGUACUUUGAAUUUCCUGCCCAGGCUGUAAUUUUAAUUUCCACUGGGUGCUGGCAAAGCCCCCCUGGGGGUGAGCCCCAGUGCCUGGCAGGAGCGGAGCGGGCUUGCGGGGCCCUCCUGGCAGGCGUUGUGUCUAAGGGAAGGGUAGGGGGGCCUUUGUCUGUCCCAGAGGAGCUUCAGUGUUCUUUGUUGCUCUCUGGAGGACUAAGAACUAAAAAAAAUAAAAGCAAAGGAGAAAGAAAAGAAAAGAAAAUGAAAUGAAAAAUAAAGAGAAUAAAAAAUGAAGGCAAUAAAGAAGGAAAAUGAAAGAAAAAAAAUGAAAGCGAGCAAAGUAAAAAGGCCCUAAUAAAAUGCCAAGU